AAAUCAACCGAGAUUCCCCCAGUAGCGGCGAGCGAACGGGGAGCAGCCCAGAGCCUGAAUCAGUGUGUGUGUUAGUGGAAGCGUCUGGAAAGGCGCGCGAUACAGGGUGACAGCCCCGUACACAAAAAUGCACAUGCUGUGAGCUCGAUGAGUAGGGCGGGACACGUGGUAUCCUGUCUGAAUAUGGGGGGACCAUCCUCCAAGGCUAAAUACUCCUGACUGACCGAUAGUGAACCAGUACCGUGAGGGAAAGGCGAAAAGAACCCCGGCGAGGGGAGUGAAAAAGAACCUGAAACCGUGUACGUACAAGCAGUGGGAGCACGCUUAGGCGUGUGACUGCGUACCUUUUGUAUAAUGGGUCAGCGACUUAUAUUCUGUAGCAAGGUUAACCGAAUAGGGGAGCCGAAGGGAAACCGAGUCUUAACUGGGCGUUAAGUUGCAGGGUAUAGACCCGAAACCCGGUGAUCUAGCCAUGGGCAGGUUGAAGGUUGGGUAACACUAACUGGAGGACCGAACCGACUAAUGUUGAAAAAUUAGCGGAUGACUUGUGGCUGGGGGUGAAAGGCCAAUCAAACCGGGAGAUAGCUGGUUCUCCCCGAAAGCUAUUUAGGUAGCGCCUCGUGAAUUCAUCUCCGGGGGUAGAGCACUGUUUCGGCAAGGGGGUCAUCCCGACUUACCAACCCGAUGCAAACUGCGAAUACCGGAGAAUGUUAUCACGGGAGACACACGGCGGGUGCUAACGUCCGUCGUGAAGAGGGAAACAACCCAGACCGCCAGCUAAGGUCCCAAAGUCAUGGUUAAGUGGGAAACGAUGUGGGAAGGCCCAGACAGCCAGGAUGUUGGCUUAGAAGCAGCCAUCAUUUAAAGAAAGCGUAAUAGCUCACUGGUCGAGUCGGCCUGCGCGGAAGAUGUAACGGGGCUAAACCAUGCACCGAAGCUGCGGCAGCGACACUAUGUGUUGUUGGGUAGGGGAGCGUUCUGUAAGCCUGUGAAGGUGUACUGUGAGGUAUGCUGGAGGUAUCAGAAGUGCGAAUGCUGACAUAAGUAACGAUAAAGCGGGUGAAAAGCCCGCUCGCCGGAAGACCAAGGGUUCCUGUCCAACGUUAAUCGGGGCAGGGUGAGUCGACCCCUAAGGCGAGGCCGAAAGGCGUAGUCGAUGGGAAACAGGUUAAUAUUCCUGUACUUGGUGUUACUGCGAAGGGGGGACGGAGAAGGCUAUGUUGGCCGGGCGACGGUUGUCCCGGUUUAAGCGUGUAGGCUGGUUUUCCAGGCAAAUCCGGAAAAUCAAGGCUGAGGCGUGAUGACGAGGCACUACGGUGCUGAAGCAACAAAUGCCCUGCUUCCAGGAAAAGCCUCUAAGCAUCAGGUAACAUCAAAUCGUACCCCAAACCGACACAGGUGGUCAGGUAGAGAAUACCAAGGCGCUUGAGAGAACUCGGGUGAAGGAACUAGGCAAAAUGGUGCCGUAACUUCGGGAGAAGGCACGCUGAUAUGUAGGUGAAGUCCCUCGCGGAUGGAGCUGAAAUCAGUCGAAGAUACCAGCUGGCUGCAACUGUUUAUUAAAAACACAGCACUGUGCAAACACGAAAGUGGACGUAUACGGUGUGACGCCUGCCCGGUGCCGGAAGGUUAAUUGAUGGGGUCAGCGCAAGCGAAGCUCUUGAUCGAAGCCCCGGUAAACGGCGGCCGUAACUAUAACGGUCCUAAGGUAGCGAAAUUCCUUGUCGGGUAAGUUCCGACCUGCACGAAUGGCGUAAUGAUGGCCAGGCUGUCUCCACCCGAGACUCAGUGAAAUUGAACUCGCUGUGAAGAUGCAGUGUACCCGCGGCAAGACGGAAAGACCCCGUGAACCUUUACUAUAGCUUGACACUGAACAUUGAGCCUUGAUGUGUAGGAUAGGUGGGAGGCUUUGAAGUGUGGACGCCAGUCUGCAUGGAGCCGACCUUGAAAUACCACCCUUUAAUGUUUGAUGUUCUAACGUGGACCCGUAAUCCGGGUUGCGGACAGUGUCUGGUGGGUAGUUUGACUGGGGCGGUCUCCUCCUAAAGAGUAACGGAGGAGCACGAAGGUUGGCUAAUCCUGGUCGGACAUCAGGAGGUUAGUGCAAUGGCAUAAGCCAGCUUGACUGCGAGCGUGACGGCGCGAGCAGGUGCGAAAGCAGGUCAUAGUGAUCCGGUGGUUCUGAAUGGAAGGGCCAUCGCUCAACGGAUAAAAGGUACUCCGGGGAUAACAGGCUGAUACCGCCCAAGAGUUCAUAUCGACGGCGGUGUUUGGCACCUCGAUGUCGGCUCAUCACAUCCUGGGGCUGAAGUAGGUCCCAAGGGUAUGGCUGUUCGCCAUUUAAAGUGGUACGCGAGCUGGGUUUAGAACGUCGUGAGACAGUUCGGUCCCUAUCUGCCGU
rnacentral:rRNA from 1 species